GGUGAGCAAUGUCCGUUAAGUUGAAAUUUGAAUUUAAAUUGUAUGGCGGUAUCGAUAUUUGCGACGCGACUGUUGUGCAAGCUAACAGCUGCUCGCGAUAACAUCUGCAUUCGAUGAUUGAUGCACUCGCCAACAGAUGUUAGUAUAUUAUUAAUUAUCUAUUGAAUAUUUGCAGUGAGUUGGCAGGAUCACUUUUGCCAUUCACAUAAGUAUCGUAUUAAAUAAUAUCGAUAUCUAACUUAGAUAAUCAAGCAAUAUCGAUAUUCUCGCUUAAUCUAGGCUAGACCAUCACUUUUCAAUUCGAAAGCUACAAAGAUAGUGUGCCGCAGCCAAAAUAUUAAAAAUAAAUCUGACGGCAUCCGUCAUAAUAUAAUAUAUAUAUUUUAUUGGUGUUGUUCGGGAGUGCGCACUUUUCAAAGUGCAUUGUUUUUAUUUUCUUUGGCCCUCUUGUUGGUUUUACAAGGUUAUUGUGUGUGCAAUCACGUGGCAACGACCACAGUACAGCACACAUCCACUGAUCUGCAACUGCAGAGGCCCCGCGCCAAAAAGGCGUGGCAACAACUUUGCAAAGGGAGUUGCCACCAUAUGCCUAGAUAUUUGCAUUUGAGUCACCAGUUUAGUGACUUAAAGACAGCAAGAGGCUGUAGAAGCGACGCCAUGCGUUGCUAAAACGGUUCCAGAAGGAACCCAAGCUUCGGAUAAACUCUUUUGAGAUAGAACGGAUUAGCAUUGAGCUGAUCGUGGCCACUUCUCGUUACCAGUGUGGAAGUUGCGCCAUGCGCUGCUGCGGCUGCGCGUUUCGCAGACUCGUUGCUACGACUCGCUGCUAAGUGUUGCCGAGUCCGCACCACUCGUCGUCGCAUCCCUGAUUGGAUGUUGUGUUGACAGUGCGAUUGUCACUGGAGGCCACUGCUAAUUUUCGUUGCUGCUUCUGACGCCGCCGACAGUGCUGUUGCACUCUCUGUCGCCUUUGUUGCUGUUAUUUCUUUUCUCGUAUACGAUUUUUCUUUGCCAUAUAAAAUGUUCAACAAAGUAACGUAAAUUCAAUUAAAAAUAGUAUUGAAAUAUAAUUCGUAUUUGAA